GCGGAUGGCUGGAUGACCGCGGGGGCUUUGCGCCGUCGAGGAAAGUCCGGGCUCCAUGAAGCGACGGUGCCGGGUAACGCCCGGCCGGGGCAACCCGAGGGAAAGCGCCACAGAGAACAAACCGCCAUGCACGCAUGGCAAGGGUGAAAAGGUGGGGUAAGAGCCCACCGCGGGACGGGCAACCGGACCGGCAUGGCAAGCCCCACCGGGAGCAAUGCCGAAUAGGGACUUCGCGCGGGUCCGGUCGCCGCAGGGCGAUACCGCCGCAGGGCCGCUUCAGCCCGAGGUCCGGGUUGGCAGCUUGACCCCCGCGCGCAAGCACGGGGGCAGAUGAAUGGUCAUCCAAGGGGGUGCAAGCCCCCCGGACAGAACCCGGCUUACAGGCCAUCCGCAUCU
rnacentral:RNase_P_RNA from 1 species